CAAAAGGAGGGAGUUUCAAGUUUUAUUUAAAGGCAAGCCUCUGGCCUCACAAAAUCACUCUUGCUGAAGUCCUCCUUGGUUUGAGCUGAGUGCUGCUGGCUAGCUGGUGGGUGGGCAGCUGGAAGGCUGCCCAUUCUGCCUUCCCCCCACACCAGCUCUACGUGCCUGCCUGCUGCCAGCCUACCACUGGUCAGGAAAACUUUUUUCCCCUUUUGGUGGGGCAGAGGAUCUUCAGGACAAUGAGGGGGAUAAAAGAUUCUCAGACUAGCUUGAAAAAAGAAUAAAAUAAACAACAAUCCACAAGAUACAGGAAAACAGAAAAAACCCUCUAAAACAAAAGUAAAAUACCUAGUGCCAAAAAGAAACGAAACUUGGUGCCAAAUAAGACUUCCUAGGAAGAGGAUACACCUGGAUGGGUGCUACACAGAAGAGGCUCUCACACAGUUCCCAGUCCAAAGAAUUCCAAAGCUUUGGAGCCAUGACCGAGAAGGCCCUGCCCCACCAACCUUUGAUGGUGGCAAGAUAUGAAGAGGAGCCUCCCUGCCCUGAAGAUCUGAGUGGAUGGGCAGGAUAAUAUGGGAAUGUAUAAACUGGCAAGGUUGGACACUUGGUGGGGUGAAAGAACAGAGAGAGACACAGAUCCGCCAACUCUCCCACUUUAGAUGUGAGUCAACAUUAGCUGAUCUUCCUUCAUUUCCACAUGUGAAAUGUGACUCUGCUUUAAGAUACCAGAUAAGCUGCUUUGUCCUAAGCCAGACCACUGGUGCUCUAACACAGAGCCUAAGAACUUCUGCAUGCAUGCAAAGCAGAGAGUCUAACAAUGAGCUACAGCCCCAUCCCCAAAGAGAAUUGGCAAUUAAGGAUGACCUCUGAGAUUAAAGCCAAGUACUUUAAAACACACCUUGGUUCCUGUACAAAGAAGACGAACAUUGUUCAAAGUUCUGCUUUGAUUUAGCUACCUCUCUGCAAGACCUCCAUUAUUUGUCAAAUAAUGAUCUGGUUAACACAGUCAUUAGAAUCAAUGGCCACAUUCACAUGUAACGUGGGACCAAGGGUCCAAUGGACCCACGGUUCUGCCCUCCCCCCUACCCUGUGAUCUAACCUUUCUGUGUUCGGAUGUAACUGCCAGGACCCAAACUGCUCUCAUGGAGAAUGCAGAGAGGAGGGGGAACUGGCUGCACGAGUGGGGGAAUUGGCUGCUGGGCUUCCUCCUUUGCAUGAAAGACAGCUGCAGCAGCCAAUCGGAAUGGAGAGAGGAAGGAGCUUCCUUCCCUCAACUCUGGUCUCGGAGAAGGCUGCCUCCAGUUCAGCACCCCAAACUCAAAGCUCAGGUAGCAACAGCGAAACCCACAACAACCCGAGGAUUCAAAUUGGAGUUUGAGGAGAGAAAGCUCGGGUCACUUUUUGAAUGGGACAGAGGUUCAAUGCAUUUGGAUGUACAAGAAAUCCAACCUCUUCCCCAUUUAACUCCAGUUUCCCAUUACGUGUGAAUGCGGCGUAUGUUUCAUGUGGAUUACUGACAUUCGUGUGAUUGUGUGAACUUGUGCCAAGGUGGUUUAUGGCUCAAGAUGAAUCUGAGAUUUCUUAGGAUGGGUUCACACAAUCUCACUAAUGUUGGUAACCCACAUUAAACCUAGAUUAAAAUCAUUGUAUGAACCAAGCCAAGGAUAACUUUGUCAAAUCCGAGGUACCCAAACAAGCUCAGAUUUAACAUCUAAUCCUGAUUUUCAAAGACUGACAUGUGCUGAAGGGAAAGCCGUACAGUGUGAAUACCAAGUCCAGAAAAGAAAGAGACAAAACAGAAUUCAGAAACAAAAACAAAAGUCAGACGAAGGCAAACAUGGAUAUAGCUUGUUGCAUUUACACAGAAAUACACGGGAAAGCCAGGCUGCAUUUCGGAAAUCCUUCCUUAGUUGUGUGGUACCAAGUCUGAACAGUUAACAACCUCAUAUAAUGGUGCCGUUGGCAAAGAAUCGGCCAUUGUCAGGAGGGCAAUAGCUCUCAGGGAAAGCUGGCAUGAGCUCUGUGCCGGACUCCUGUGAAAGUAGAAGCCAUCUGAUAAUCAUCAAACAUCGCAACCGGCUUUGCAACAACACAGCAGUGAAUUGUUAUUACUCCUUCAGUCUUUUACUUGCCUUACCAGAUGUCUGCUUGGAAAUACACAGGGAAGUCUGGUUUUGCACCUGCCAUUAUUGUGCUUGCAGGAAAUUGAAAUGCUGUGUCCAGGAAAACAGAUCGGAGCUGGGUUUCUGGAGGCCAAGUUCACAGCGCAGAAGGUGGGUUCAUCACUCCUGCUACAUAGGACAGUAUGGGUGAACCCAGUUGGUUGGUUGGUUGGUUGGUUGGAUGGUUAUAUUUAUUAAAUAUAUCUAAGAGAAUUUAAAUUUUAUUUAAGGGUAUUUAAUGCCUUCUUUGUUAUGAACUCUGCCACCUAUUAAAAUCUUCAAGAGCGGCUUGUCUGAGGGACCCGCCAGUUCCUCUGGUGAUGACUCAAAGAAGAGCCUUCCCUGUAGUUGCCCCAGAGCUGUGGAACACACUUCCUGCUGAGAUUUGAGCUGCUCCAUCCCUGUUGGCUUUUAGGAAACAACUAAAGACGCAUCUCUUCAGCAAAGCCUUUUAGCUAUUUUAUUCAGCCAUUUUAAUGGUCUAGUUAUUUUAAUUUGAGCUUAUAUAUGUUGUAAUUGUUUUAAAAUUUAUUGGUUUGUUUUAUUGUUGUAAAUCACCUAAAGACUUCGGUAGUGGGCGGUAUACAAAUAUGUUAAACAGAUAAACAAACAAACAAAUAAAUAAAUUUAUA